rnacentral:rRNA from 1 species
AUUGAACGCUGGCGGCAUGCUUUACACAUGCAAGUCGAACGGUAACAGGCCGCAAGGUGCUGACGAGUGGCGAACGGGUGCGUAAUGCAUCGGAACGUGCCCAGUCGUGGGGGAUAACUACUCGAAAGAGUAGCUAAUAACUCAUACGAUCUAUGGAUGAAAGCGGGGGACCUUAAGGCCUCGCGCGAUUGGAGCGGCCGAUGUCAGAUUAGGUAGUUGGUGGGGUAAAGGCUCACCAAGCCAACGAUCUGUAGCUGGUCUGAGAGGACGACCAGCCACACUGGGACUGAGACACGGCCCAGACUCCUACGGGAGGCAGCAGUGGGGAAUUUUGGACAAUGGGCGCAGGCCUGAUCCAGCAAUGCCGCGUGCAGGAAGAAGGCCUUCGGGUUGUAAACUGCUUUUGUACGGAACGAAACGGCUCUGGUUAAUACCCGGGGCUAAUGACGGUACCGUAAGAAUAAGCACCGGCUAACUACGUG